rnacentral:rRNA from 1 species
CCUACGGGAGGCAGCAGUGAGGAAUAUUUGACAAUGGACGGAACUCUGAUCCAGCGAUGCCGCGUGCGGGAAGACGGCUCUAUGAGUUGUAAACUGCUUUUGUACAAGCGUAAACCUGAAUGCGUGUAUUCAGCUGAAACGAGUGUACGAAUACGGAUCCACUAACUCCGUGCCAGCAGCCGCGGCAAUCCGGAGGAUCCAAGCGUUAGCCGGAUUUAUGGGGUUGAAGGUGUGCAGAGGCGGGUUGAUAAGUUAGAGGUGAAAGGUCCGAGCUCAAAUGGGGAACUGCCUCUAAUACUGUUGAUCUAGAGAGUAGAUGCGGUAGGCGGAAUGUAUGGUGUAGCGGUGAAAUGCUUAGAGAUCAGACAGAACACCGGUUGCGAAGGCAGCUUCCUAGUCUAUAUCUGACGUUGAGGCACGAAAGCGUGGGGAGCAAACAGGAUUAGAUACCCGAGUAGUC